GUUUUCUUCAGAAAAGUUUGACAUAGAGAGGUUGAAAAGUUCUUAUUUUAAAUAAAAUACCUUGUGAUAAGAGUUAAAUAGUGAAUAGUUUCAUAGUUUGUGAUUGGAUUUACUUGCUAAGAAUCUUGUUGGCAUAUACCGGUUUACUUACGAAUGAUGGAGUCAUUGCUAAUUUCUAGACUCCAAGAUAUAAUAAAUCAUAUCGAGAUUGUGACGAAACAGUGCGAAACAUUCUUACAAAAGGAAAUAAGUGAUAUUGACAAACAGCAAGCAGAAAUUGCUACCAAGAAAUUGGAAAAUCUUCAUUCUCGUUUUUCAACUGAAUUAAACAAUUAUUUUCGAUUGAGUAUCGAACCAUCUGCUGAUGACAUCUCAAUGUUUAGUGCUAUUCAAUUAAAUUCCGAAGAAAUUCUCAUAGAGUUGACCAUAAAGUUAAAAGAUUUGCGUGAAGACCGAAGUGAACGGUCAAAUAAAGCUACUUAUAGUGAAUUACCAAAAUUGAACUUACCUGAAUUUAGUGGUGAUGUGUUGCAAUGGCAACAGUUCUGGGACCAUUUCACAUCAAAUAUUGAUAGUAGACACUUACCGGACGUGGACAAAUUAUUGUACUUGAAGGCUUCAUUAUCUGGAGAUGCGAAGAGAGCUGUUGAAGGAUUAGAAACUACAAAUAGAAACUAUGAGAUUGCUGUAUCGAUUCUUAAGGAACGAUAUGGUAAGGAACAUUACAUAAUUGAUGCUCACUAUGCUGCCUUAUAUAAAAUUAAGGCUGCGGACAAGACUGCUGAAGAUUGUCGGAGAACUCUUAAUGAAGUAGAGCGGCAUCUACGAGUUUUAAAUUCACUUGGUGAGAAUACUAACCAUAACCAUCUGCGGUUUAUUAUUAUUGAAAAGUUUCCUGAAGAGAUAGUGUAUGAGUUAAAGAUGUUGUUAAAGACAGAUUCUAUUGAAGAUAUGAGAAAACAAUUAGAGAUUAUUAUUUCAGCAAGAGAGGAUGCUAAUAGAAUUGCUCAAGAGAAAAGUCAAAAGGAAAUUAGACAUUACACGGUUGAGACAUUCCACGGUACAGAUAGUGUGAACCAACAUAAACCGUCAAGCGGUUCAAGAAGGUUUAAGAUCCAAGAAUGUUUUAAGAAUUUAAAGGAUAAACAUCAGGAUUGGAAAAUGAAAAUGAGAUUUGCUCCCAACUACAAGAAUAAUAAUUACAAUAAUAAUAGAAUGCUUCCUAAUAAAAGAAAAUUUGAAAAUUCAUAUAAGAGAGAUAUAAACAUGAAAAAACCAAGAUUAAAUUGUAUUUUCUGCUCAGGAGCACAUUACAAUGAUCAAUGUAAGACUGUAAGAACUAUUAAGGACAGACAAAUCAAAUUAAAGGGCCGAUGCUUUUAUUGCUUUGUUCAAGGUCAUUGCAGUAAGUCAUGUAAAAUAAAUAAAAAAUGUAUACAUUGUGGAGGAAGGCAUAACAGAGCUUUAUGUCCAAAAGUUUGUGAUUCUGUGAAAGUGAAAACAUUGCAUACAAAUACUUCAGACAAAUCUGGAAAUUCUACAACGGUGUUACAGACAGCAGUAGUUACUGCAUUAAAUGAAAAUAAAUGCGACAAAGUGAAUUGUCUGAUCCUUAUGGACUCUGGCAGUCAACGUUCAUAUGUAACAAAGAGGAUUGCUACUGAAUUGAAUUUAGCUGUAAUAGAAGAACACCAUCUUUCCGUCUUCACCUUCGGAACUGAUCAACCAUUGGAAUAUGAUAGUCCAUUAGUGAAAUUAAAUAUACUUACCAGAACUAACGAAGAAGUCGUACUGUACGCCAAUGUUGUACCAACCAUUGCACAGCAUGUUAGUUAUCCUGGAGAAGAACUUUAUCAUUGGAAAAAUGAAUGUAUCUUGGCAGACGAUGGUUCACUUGGAGACCAAGUGGACAUCCUCAUCGGCAAUGACUAUUAUUUCACGGUUAUAGACACAACAAAGAAACAAAUAAGUAAGAACUUAUUUUUAGUGGAUUCUAAAUUUGGAUGGAUGUUGACAGGGAAAACAGAAAAGAAAAAUAUAGAUAAUUUAUCAGUUAUUACUUACUUUCAGUCAAAUAAAGAAACAAAAUUGAAUAAACCGGACUUACCUUUAGACAACAUGCACCUGAAAAACUUAUGGGACCUUGAAUGUAUUGGAAUUACUGACUCUCCCAACACUACUAAAGAGGAAGAAGCUAUGAAGAACUUUAAUGAUAACACAAAAUACAAGGACAAGAGAUAUUUUGUAUGCUGGCCAUGGAAUAAUAAUGUUUCAAAUCUACCUACUAAUCUUGGACUAGUGACAGGAAGAUUAAUCAAUUUAUUAAGACGAAUGGAUAAAGACACAUUAAAGUUAUAUGAUGAGACAAUUAGAAACCAACUUGAAGAUGGAAUCAUUGAAGCUGUUCCCUCUGAUGAAAUAGAUCACAGUAUACAUACCAUACAUUACCUGCCACAUCAUGGAGUAAAGACACCUGGAAAAGCUGUUCGUAUUGUAUAUGAUGCGUCAGCAAAACUGAAACAAGGAGUUAGUCUCAAUGAAUGUCUUCGAGCUGGACCAGUAUUACUAGAAGAUUUAACAGGAUUAUUGAUAAGAUUCAGAUCUCAUAAAACAGCGAUAACAGCAGACGUUGAAAAGGCAUUUUUACAAAUUGGACUUCAAGAUGACAGUAAAGAUGUUACUAGAUUUCUAUGGCUCAAAGAUAUAACAAAAGCAGCUACUGAUGACAAUAUUAUACACCUUCGCUUUUGUCGAGUACCGUUUGGGGUCAUAUCUAGUCCAUUCUUGUUAAACGCUACUAUCAAGUACCAUUUAAUGCAGUCGGCUAAUAAGGCUGUACAGCAAGUUUCUGGCGACAUAUAUGUAGACAAUUUGGUUACUGGGACGAAGACGACAUUACAAGCGAUUACAUUAUACAGCAGUUUAAAAAGACAAUUUGAGAAGAUAUCUAUGAAUCUAAGAGAGUGGAGUUCCAACUCGAAAGAAUUUAAAGAGAAGAUACCAGAUGUACUUGACAAAGAAGUUGUCAAGGUUCUCGGCUUAGACUGGAAUACAAACAAAGAUACAAUCCAAUUGAGACCAAACAAUGUUGACUUACAAACUACUAAACGAGGAGUCUUAAGGACAAUUGCUUCUACUUACGAUCCAUGUGGAUUUGUUGCACCAUCGUUGUUGUCACCAAAAUUGUUCAUGCAAGAUCUAUGGAAAAGCAAAAUUAAAUGGGAUUCAAAGUUACCCAAAGAAUUAUUUGAAGAAUGGAGAAACAUAUAUAAUAAUUUAGAAACUGAACAGGAAGAAAUACCAAGAUAUUAUACAAAGGACUUUGAAAGUAAAGAAAGUCAGUUACAUUGUUUCACGGAUGCAUCAACGAAGGCUUAUGCAGCUGAAGUAUAUAUAGUAAAUGAAAAUGGCAAAGGAUUUGUAAUAGGUAAAUCACGGUUAACACCUAUCAAGGACCAAGAUAAUUUGAAAAUACCUCGUCUAGAAUUAUUAGGCGUGCUGAUUGGCAGUAGACUAUUGAAGUAUGUUGAGAAAUCUUUGCAAAUUAAAAUAAGAAAACAAUUCUUAUGGACAGACAGUCAGAUUGUCAUCGACUGGUAUAAUUCAAACAAGUUGUUAACACCUUUUGUCUCUAGAAGAAUUGGAGAGAUAAAACAAAACAAGAAUCUUACUGUACGAUAUGUUCCAACAGAGUUGAAUCCUGCAGAUGUUGCAACACGCCCUAAUAAAACUAAACAAGAGAAGACAUACUGGCUUAAGGGUCCAGAUUUCCUUCUACAGAAUGAAAAUACAUGGCCUACUAACUUAUUAAAAGAACUUUCACUUCUGACAUCAGAAGAGCCGUUGAAGAUAGGUGAACAUUUGGAGAAUGUUCAUGAAGCUACAAAGUCAUUAAAUAAUAAAGAAGAAAAUAAAACUAGUAAACAUUAUAGUAAGUCAAAACAAAUAGAAGAAAUGAAAAGAAUACAAGAAACUUAUUUUCCUGAUGAGGUUAAUAUGAAAGAAACUGCUUUAAGUCGAAAUCUACGAUUAUUUAAAGAUGAUGAUGGUUUGUUAAGAAGCAAAGGAAGAUUUGAAAAUACUGAAUGGUCGUUUGACAUGAAAUACCCAAUUUUAUUGCCCAAGAACUGUGACUUCACAAAUAGUUUAAUAAAGAGAAUACAUGAAGACAACUACCAUGUUGGAGCCAAUCAUACACUGAGUUUAAUUCGGAAGUUGUACUGGAUACCACAGGGUAAAGCUCAAGUUCAAAAGAUUAUAAGACAGUGUUCGAGCUGUAUCAAGCAUGGAGGCGGUCCAUUCAAACUUCCGCCUACUCCUGCACUUCCUGCUGAAAGAGUGAACUAUAGUUCACCUUUUACAUUUACUGGACUUGAUUAUUUAGGACCAAUAUUAGUAAAGACUGAAAAUGGAGUUUCCAAGAGGUGGAUUUGUUUAUUCACUUGUUUAGCUGUAAGAGCUAUACAUCUAGAAAUGGUACAAGAUUUAUCUGCUAAAGAAGGGCUAUUUGCUCUAAGACGAAUGAUUUCUACAAGAGGGACUCCUGGUUUGAUAAUUUCAGACAAUGCUUCACAAUUCAAACUUAUAUCAGAGCUUCUAACCAAUCCAUACUGUAAAGAGAAUAAAAUUACAUGGAAAUUUAUACCACAGUUAUCACCAUGGUUUGGUGGUUUUUAUGAGAGACUAGUGAGUCUAGUAAAGCAUUGUAUGAAGAGAACAUUGCAUAAACAUUUGUUAAAUGACAGUGAAAUCAAUACAGUUAUUAAAGAAAUUGAAGCUAUUUUAAAUACAAGACCACUUACCUGUGUCGAUUCAGAAAUGGUGCAUAUACUGAAACCAGCUGAUUUUUUGAUGAUGGGUAAAUGUAUCAGGACAGAGACAACAAAUAAUAAAGACAUUCUUAUUGAAGGCACAACAACGAAACAAGAUUUGAUUCAAGGCUGGAAAAGAGCUUUAGUAAUUCUAGAUGAGUUUAAAGACAUGUUUAUGAACCGAUAUCUUUCUAGUCUUCGGGAAAGAUUUCAAAAUUCAUUAAAGGAGCCAAGAAUUAAGUCUCAGUUAAUACCUAAAGAAGGACAGGUAGUACAAAUAAAAGGAGAUACAAAAAAUAGAGAAGAUUGGAAAGUGGGUAGAAUAGUCUCACUUACUACAAGCAAAGAUGGAUUUUGUAGAGUAGCUAAUGUUAAAGUUGGAAACAAGAUAUAUACGAGAUCAAUCACUCAGUUGUAUCCGCUUGAAGUUGAGGAUUUUGAUAAUGAGAAUAUUGAGAAUAGUUCUGAAAAUAUUGGUCAAACUCUAAAGAGAACAAGAAUAGUUGGUUCUGUGAAUGAUUCAAGGCCUAUAGACAUUCCUGAAGAGGUAAUUACUAAUAUACAAAAUAAAGAUAAUGAUAUAGAAAUGGAAACUGUAAGAGACAGCACUAAACGAAUAAUUGAUGGGGUUACUGAAGUUGUCAGUGAACCAGAUAAUGAUAUUACUGAAGUUGUUAAUGAAUCAGAAAAUGAUGUUAUUGAUGUUAAUGAACAAGAGAAUGAUAAUAAAGAGUCUAGACCGGUGCGUGCCGCUGCCACGAGAGCCCUGGAAAAGAUAAGGGAAUGGACGGCCAACUUGGUCGCCCUACUAUGACAAGUUCUUCGUUCGUCGGGAGUGUCGUGACGAAGGCUGGUUGACGCCGUCACGAUGUCCCUCAAAUUCUUCGUUCGUCGGGAGUGUCGUGACGAAGGCUGGUUGACGCCGUCACGAUGUCCCACAAAUUCUUCGUUCGUCGGGAGUGUCGUGACGAUGAGUCACGAUUCUAAAUAUGGAAUGUCACAAGUAGCAACACCGAAACGGAAGCCCGCUAAUUUUUCUAUCAAUGGAGAAGUAAUCCGUAUCCAUGAGGUGAAAGGAAAGGUGUAAGGAAAGCCAUAUUGAGGAUCUGAUCACUGACAUAGGAACCUAUGAGUGAGUAAGAGUUACAUCCUAUCUACACAUACUGACUGGUAUUCGCGACGUCAGUCUAGUAUGUGUGCAUUCACAUCCCUACAAUAGAUUCAUAAUUCUUUGAUUAUAUACAUAAUUAUAGAUAGAUAUAUAUAAGUGUAAAAGAGUCGUCGCG
rnacentral:misc_RNA from 1 species